CGAACCCUUCGGGGUUAGUGGCGCACGGGUGCGUAACGCGUGGGAACCUGCCUUUAGGUUCGGAAUAACAGUUAGAAAUGACUGCUAAUACCGGAUAAUGUCUUCGGACCAAAGAUUUAUCGCCUUUAGAUGGGCCCGCGUUAGAUUAGAUAGUUGGUGGGGUAAUGGCCUACCAAGUCGACGAUCUAUAGCUGGUCUGAGAGGAUGAUCAGCCACACUGGGACUGAGACACGGCCCAGACUCCUACGGGAGGCAGCAGUGGGGAAUAUUGGACAAUGGGCGAAAGCCUGAUCCAGCAAUGCCGCGUGAGUGAUGAAGGCCUUAGGGUUGUAAAGCUCUUUUACCAGGGAUGAUAAUGACAGUACCUGGAGAAUAAGCUCCGGCUAACUCCGUGCCAGCAGCCGCGGUAAUACGGAGGGAGCUAGCGUUGUUCGGAAUUACUGGGCGUAAAGCGCGCGUAGGCGGCUUUUUAAGUCAGAGGUGAAAUCCCAGGGCUCAACCCUGGAACUGCCUUUGAAACUGGAAAGCUAGAAUAUUGGAGAGGUAAGUGGAAUUCCGAGUGUAGAGGUGAAAUUCGUAGAUAUUCGGAAGAACACCAGUGGCGAAGGC
rnacentral:rRNA from 1 species